CAGUCGCCGCGGUAAUACGAGGGGUGCAAGCGUUAUUCGGAUUGAUUGGGUGUAAAGGGUGUGUAGACGGCUUAUUAAGUCACUUGUUAAAUUCUUCGGCCUAACUGAAGGUCUGCAAGUGAUACUGAUGAGCUAGAGGGUGGAAGAGAGAGGUGGAAUUCUCGGAGUAGCGGUAAAAUGCGUAGAUCUCGAGAGGAACACCAAUGGCGAAGGCAGCUUCUUGGUCCAUUCCUGACGUUCAUACACGAAAGCGUGGGGAGCAAACAGGAUUAGAUACCCCCGUAGUCCCUGUCUCUUAUAC
rnacentral:rRNA from 1 species